GUUUUAGUCUAUUCAGAGGAAUUUGCCCCGUAAUCGAUAAUCCCCGAUUAAUCUUUCUUUUAUUAGUUUUCAGUAUGUAUACCGCCGUUAUAAGUUUAUUUUAUUAGAAUUUUAUUUACUAAUUUUUUUAUUAGAAUUUAUUUCAGGUCAAGGUGCAGCUUAUAUUUAAGUGGAGGUGAAUUACAAUUUUAUCUGAAAAUAUGGAUUUAAUUUUGAAAUUUUUAAUGAAGGUGGAUUUGUUUGUAAUUUUAUUUAUGUUAUUUAUUUGAUUUUGGCUCUAAAAUAAGUACACAUCGCCCGUCG
rnacentral:rRNA from 1 species